CCUACGGGUGGCAGCAGUGGGGAAUAUUGGACAAUGGGGGGAACCCUGAUCCAGCCAUGCCGCGUGUGUGAAGAAGGCCCUCGGGUUGUAAAGCACUUUCAGUGAGGAAGAACGCCUGGUGGUUAAUACCCAUCAGGAAAGACAUCACUCACAGAAGAAGCACCGGCUAACUCCGUGCCAGCAGCCGCGGUAAUACGGAGGGUGCGAGCGUUAAUCGGAAUUACUGGGCGUAAAGCGCGCGUAGGUGGCUUGAUAAGCCGGUUGUGAAAGCCCCGGGCUCAACCUGGGAACGGCAUCCGGAACUGUCAAGCUAGAGUGCAGGAGAGGAAGGUAGAAUUCCCGGUGUAGCGGUGAAAUGCGUAGAGAUCGGGAGGAAUACCAGUGGCGAAGGCGGCUUUCUGGACUGACACUGACACUGAGGUGCGAAAGCGUGGGUAGCAAACAGGAUUAGAUACCCGUGUAGUC
rnacentral:rRNA from 1 species